UCCCUCCCUCCUAGGCCUUUACUAUCCUUUGCAUUGGUCAGAUGUGUCGUCACUCAUAAAACUUCUAGCUCAUUGGUGCAAAAGCUCCAGGAGGCGGUGGGUGAUUGGUUGGUUGCUGUUCCUAUCUCCACGCCGGCUGUGGUUUAGCUGAACUGAGCCGAAAUCCUAAAGGCCGCGGAGUCGGCGGUGAUGUAGGUAGCGGUGCCUUGAGUGGCAACAGGUGAAUCUCCGGCUCACCUGGGGCGGCAGCACGCAAGACCUGGCUGGAUCUCCGCUUCGUCUGCGGGCCAGAAACUGGAGGGCGGCGGUGGCUUGCGGAAAGGUAUUGGGCUCCGCUGUUCCUUCUUUGCCCUCUCGACGGCCGGAGCAGCGAGGAACCGAAGGAGGCUUCGUAGGUUCCACGCAAGGCCCUCUCUCUGCUCUUCCAGGGGCGCACAAGUUGAGAAGGAGCGGCCUGGCGGCCCAGAAUUCAAUUACAAUGGGAAACAUUUUUGAAAAGCUCGUUAAGAGUCUACUUGGGAAAAAAGAGAUGCGGAUUCUUAUAUUGGGUUUGGAUACAGCUGGAAAAACCACCAUCUUGUAUAAAUUGAAGCUGGGGGAGACUGUGCCUACCAUCCCUACAGUAGGUUUCCAUAUGGAGACGGUAGAAUAUAAAAAUAUCACCUUCACAGUCUGAGAUGUUGGCAGCCACUUCAAAAUGAGACCUCUGUGGCGGCAUAUUUUCCAGAACACAAAAGGUCUGAUUUUUGUGGUUGACAGUAAUGACAGAGAGCGGAUUGAUGAGGCCCGGGAAGUACUAACUUACUUAUUAGAGGAUGAUGAGCUCACAAAUGCAGUUUUAUUGGUAUUUGCCAAUAAACAGGAUCUCUCUAAUACUAUGAACGCGGCAGAGAUAACAGACAAGCUCGGCCUCCAUUCCCUCCGCUACGGAAACUGGCACAUUCAGGCUACUUGUGCCACUACCGGACAUGGGCUUUACGAAGGCCUGGACUGGCUCGCCAACCAGCUCCAGAACCAGAAUUGACCAGAAGGAUCUAUUCUUUGUGCCUUGUGGCCACAUCGGCUGGUCUCUGCUGCGUGCACGUGUACCUGUGUGCUGGGAGUGGAGGCAGCUUUCUCACAGUGCCUUAUCCAUGCCAUAAGAAAAGCAGGUUACAUUUUAAGAAACCCCGUGUUAAGUUUUAAACACCACCUUCCAUUUCAGUAGCUUUGAUGAUCAUUUUUGCAGUUGAUGGAGAAGUCCAGAGGGCUUGCUGGUGCUCGAAGGCCAGAGCGGGCUUCAUGGUGGAAAGGAGGAGGAGAGUUGGAGUGGGAACUGAGUUCAGCUGUUGCAAUCCUGGUCUGGCAUCUGGAGUCCUGUUAGUCUUUGGUGUCCUUUCGUAAAAAGGAAGGAAUUGUCAUUCUUUUUUUUUUUUUUUUUAACCAUAUUUUUACUGUACCUUUUCAUGUUUAUUUUUUAUUAAAAAUUUUCUUUUUUUUUUGAAACAGCCUCCCACUCUGUCGCCCAAGCUGGAGUGCAGUGGUACGAUCUCAGCUCACUGCAACCUCCGCCUCUCGGGCUCAAGCAAUCCUCCCACCUCAGCCUCCUACAGGUGUGCACACCACACCUGGGUAAUUUUUGUACUUUUUGUGGAGAUGGGGUCUCGCCAUGUUGCCUGGGCUGGUCUCUAACUCCUGAGCUCAAGGGAUCCACCCACCUCAGCCUUCCAAAGUGCUGGGAUUACAGGCAUGAGCCACUACACUCCCCAGAAAUCGUCAUUCUUUACCAUCACUGCUGGGGCUAGCAGCUCACUCUUCAGUGCUUUAAAGCAAAUGAUCCUCAGGAAAGAAAAGGUACUUGCUUAUUGCAGGUGUGAAGAGGUUCAGAUUGGUGGAACUUUUCCCUGACGCUGUAUUUUAGCCCAGAGUUCCUGAUGUAAGAUGCUUUAUUUAAAGAUAUCAGUGAGCUUUUUCACUGGCAUGUCAAGACUUCAUAACACUAGGAAGGUAUCCAGCCUUUUCCAUAUGCUAGUUCCUUCCCUUAUUUGCCAGAUGGGGACCCCGUGGGGAGGUGACCCAGUGUGAGGCCGCAGCUCUUUCCCAGAGCCCCGCAGGCCAGCGGAGGGUCGUGUCUGCCCUCUGGCCAUCACCGUCUGGGGUCUCGGUCCUCUGUGACUGCAGCUCCCACAUCCCUGCUCUGAGAUAAAUGUUCUUCCCGUGAAGCAGACGGUUCACUUUUGGGAUGGCACUGUCCCCAGGUUUGGCUGUCUCAGUCCAGAUGAUGGUUUUGGUUAGUUUCCAUUCCCAGAACCACACGCCUGUGAGUUCUGAGAGUUUGUGACCGACUCAAGGGGCUAAUUUGGGAGAUGUGAGAUUCCCAGCUACCCCUGGUAUUGCCCCCGAGUUCGUGGCAAAUUUCACUAUGGGAAAUAGCUCUUGUCAAGACCACGCUCCACCACAUUGCCUCCCUCUUUUGGAUGGCCAUGGCAUCUCAUGGACCACCUGGAAAUGUGUUUUAUGUUGUUCUUCAAAUAUUAAUAAAAAUGUGCUGGAGAGGAGGUUCACUGAGUGGUCUAGAGCUCGUUUAUCCAGACAACUGUUGGCCACAUUAGUACCUAAGCACUUCUACUACUUAACCUUUUUUUUUUUUUUUUUGAGAUGGAGUCUUCCUGUAUUGCCCUGGCUAGAGUACAGUGGCGUGAUCUCGGCUCACAGCAACCUCUGCCUCCUGGUUCAAGUGAUUCUCCUCCCUCAGCCUCCUGAGUAGCUGGGACUACAGGCAUCUGCCACCAUGCCCGGCUAAUUUUUAUACUUUUAGUGGAGACAAGGUUUCAUCAUGUUGGCCAGGCUGGUCUUGAACUCCUGACCUUGUGAUCCGCCCUCCUCGGCCUCCCAAAGUGUUGGGAUUACAGGCACGAACCACCGCACCUGGCCUCCGAGAAAUAUUUAGAUUGUACACCUCAAAUGGGCAGGGACUGUGUCUUUCACUUUUGUAUUUAUGCUACAGUGUACCUAGUACAGUGCCAGCCCUCGUUAAAUACUUAUUGAUUGCUCAGACAAUAAAGACCUUGCUUUGGAAGGAG